rnacentral:rRNA from 1 species
CAGGCCUAACACAUGCAAGUCGAACGGGAAGGCGGCUUUCGGGUCGCUGGAGAGUGGCGAACGGGUGAGUAACGCGUAACUGAUCUGCCCCAUAGACUGGGAUAACCUUUGGAAACAGAGGCUAAUACGGGAUGAACUUGGCGGAGUUAGGUUUCUGCUGAGGAAAGGUUUAGGCGCUAUGGGAUGAGGUUGCGGUCCAUCAGCUAGUUGGUGAGGUAAAGGCUCACCAAGGCGAUGACGGAUAGGGGAUCUGAGAGGGUGGCCCCCCACACUGGGACUGAGACACGGCCCAGACUCCUACGGGAGGCAGCAGUAAGGGAUAUUGCACAAUGGGCGGAAGCCUGAUGCAGCGACGCCGCGUGGGCGAAGAAGGUUUUCGGAUCGUAAAGUCCUUUUCUAUGUGACGAGGUAGGACGGUAGCAUAGGAAUAAGUGUCGGCUAACUACGUGCCAGCAGCCGCGGUAAAACGUAGGACGCGAACGUUAUCCGGAGUUACUGGGCGUAAAGCGCGCGCAGGCGGUGUCAUAAGUUACCCAUGA